rnacentral:rRNA from 1 species
UACGUAGGGCGCAAGCGUUGUCCGGAAUUAUUGGGCGUAAAGAGCUCGUAGGCGGUUUGUUGCGUCUGCCGUGAAAACCCGAGGCUUAACCUCGUGGCUUGCGGUGGAUACGGGCAGACUAGAGGUAGGUAGGGGAGAAUGGAAUUCCCGGUGUAGCGGUGAAAUGCGCAGAUAUCGGGAGGAACACCGGUGGCGAAGGCGGCAUCCUGGACCAACACUGACGCUGAGUGAGCGAAAGCCAGGGGAGCAAACGGGG